rnacentral:rRNA from 1 species
GGGGAAAAAUUAAUAUUUUAUAAAUAAUAAAAGUAUUUUUUAUAUUAAAAUUGGGGGGUUUUAGUAUUAAUAAAGAAAAAAUUAUAAUAUUUAUAGUGAAUUAGUAUUGUAUAAUAAAUUUUAAAUAAAAUUGAAAAUAAAUUUAAUUAAAAGUAAAUUUAAUUUAUUGUAUCUUGUGUAUCAGAGUUUAUUAAUAAUAAUUUUAGUUAAAAAUAUUUCUCGAAUUUAAAAGAGAUAAUUAAUUAAUAAAGUUAUUGUGGCAUAAAUAUUUUUAAUAAUUAAUUUGAAAUGAAAUGUUAAUCGUUUUUAAAGAUAUCUAGUUUUUUUAGAAAAAAAUUUAAUUUUAAUUUAUAAAAAAAAAAUAUUAAUUAAUUAAUAUUUUUUUUUUAUAAAUUUAUAUUUUAAGGGAUAAGCUUUAAAUUAAAUUAUUAUAAUUAUUAUUAAAAUAAAUUAAAAAUUUUAAAAUUUAUAUUGUUUAUAAUUUUUAAUUUAUUAUAAAUUAAUUUUAAUUUAAUUAAAAUUUUUUAAAAAUUUAAUUUUUUAUAAAAAAAUAAUUUUUAAUUUUAAAAAGUUAGUUAUAAUGAUAAAAUUAGUAUUUAUUAAUAAAAUGUAAUUAUUUAUUUAUAAAAUAAAUAUAAGGAAUUCGGCAAAUUUUUAUAUUCACUUGUUUAUCAAAAACAUGUCUUUUUGAGAAUAAUUUAAAGUCUAAUCUGCCCACUGAUAUAUUUAUUAAAGGGCUGCAGUAUAUUGACUGUACAAAGGUAGCAUAAUCAUUAGUCUCUUAAUUGGUGACUUGUAUGAAAGAUUGGAUGAGAUAUAAGCUGUCUCAUUUUUAUAUAAAAAAAUUAAUUUUUUAAUUAAAAAGUUAAAAUAAUUUUAAAAGACGAGAAGACCCUAUAGAGUUUAAUAAUUUAAUUAAUUAAAGUUAUUUAUAAAUUUAAUAAUUAAAAUUAAUAAUAUUAUUUUGUUGGGGUGAUAGAAAAAUAAAUAUAACUUUUUUUAAAAUUUUUCAUGAAUAAGUGAAUAAAUGAUCCAAAAUUAUUUUGAUUAUAAGAAAAAAUUACCUUAGGGAUAACAGCGUAAUUUUUUUUUUUAGUUCAUAUAAAAAAAAAAGUUUGCGACCUCGAUGUUGGAUUAAGAUAAAAUUUAUAUGCAAAAGUUUAAAAUUUUGAUCUGUUCGAUCAUUAAAAUCUUACAUGAUCUGAGUUCAAACCGGUGUGAGCCAGGUUGGUUUCUAUCUUUAAUAAAUUAAAAUAUUUUAGUACGAAAGGAAUAAAUAUUUAAAUUAAAUUUAAAUAGUUUGAAUUUUAUUAAAUUUAUUAUAAAAUAUAUAAAGUUAAUUUUUAACU